rnacentral:piRNA from 1 species
UCCAACACCAAUAAAAUCAGUCCUAUAGAAU